AAGUCGUAACAAGGUCUCCGUAGGUGAACCUGCGGAGGGAUCAUUACCGAGCGAGGGCCACCCGCCCGACCUCCCACCCUCUGUGAUUCUACCGUGUUGCCUCGGGGGCGCGAGCCCCCGGCGGACCACAACCCAACUCGCAUCGCAUGCGUCGGUUUGGAUUGAUGAAUACUAUCAAAACUUUCAACAACGGAUCUCUUGGUUCUGGCAUCGAUGAAGAACGCAGCGAAAUGCGAUAAGUAAUGUGAAUUGCAGAAUUCAGUGAAUCAUCGAGUCUUUGAACGCACAUUGCGCCCUCUGGUAUUCCGGGGGGCACGCCCGUUCGAGCGUCAUUGCAACAAUCAAGCCUGGCUUGGUGUUGGGGCACGGGGGUGACCCGGCCCUCAAUGUCUUCGGCAGGGCCGUCCUGAUCGCAGCGUCGUGGCACACAUUUUCGCUGGUGAGACGGGCGGUCCGCGCCGUGAAACCCCAUCAAAGGUUGACCUCGGAUCGGGUGAGGAUACCCGCUGAACUUAA
rnacentral:rRNA from 1 species